UCAAUAUUUUCUUCAUCAACCAAAUCAUCUUAAAAUUUAUGUUGUGAUUUAAUUUAUAUACAUUUUGACUGAGCGCGGUGGUUCAUGCUUGUAAUCCCAGCACUUUGGGAGGCAGNNNNNNNNNNUCCAUACAAAAAAUACAAAAAUUAGCUGGGUGAGGUGGCUAGAUAGGGAUCACUGAUUUAGCCAUGCAUUGCGAUACAAUUGUAUUAAAUGAAAGAGAAGGGGCUUUUGUAUGCUUUUGUGGUGUGAGGGGAGAUGCUAGGCGAGGCCAUGUAACACAGUACAUCCUCAUCUUCUACAGUAGGACAUCAAAAGAGAACUUAACUGAAAAACUAAGUGUAAACACAGAGAAGUAAAAAACAAAACAAUUUAAAUUGAGGGACGUGGGGUGGGGAAGGCGCAGGGCAGGCUAUUGCUGCUUUCUGUUUUAAAAACUGCAGCACUGUUUUUGUCUUUUUCAGUUACUUGUAUAUAGUAUUUUCAUAAAGAUAAAAUUAGACUAAGAAAAAAACUAUGGAAAUAAAAGAAAAUCCCAGGGCACUAAAAAAUCACUUUCAGCUUUAAAACUUUGGAUAAUCACCAGAAU
rnacentral:lncRNA from 1 species